GCUUGGGCUUCUUUGCUGACGAGUGGCGGACGGGUGAGUAAUGUCUGGGAAACUGCCUGAUGGAGGGGGAUAACUACUGGAAACGGUAGCUAAUACCGCAUAACGUCGCAAGACCAAAGAGGGGGACCUUCGGGCCUCUUGCCAUCGGAUGUGCCCAGAUGGGAUUAGCUAGUAGGUGGGGUAACGGCUCACCUAGGCGACGAUCCCUAGCUGGUCUGAGAGGAUGACCAGCCACACUGGAACUGAGACACGGUCCAGACUCCUACGGGAGGCAGCAGUGGGGAAU
rnacentral:rRNA from 1 species